UACGUAGGGCGCAAGCGUUGUCCGGAAUUACUGGGCGUAAAGCGCACGUAGGCGGCUUUCUAAGUCGGGGGUGAAAUCCUGGAGCUCAACUCCAGAACUGCCUUCGAUACUGGAGAGCUUGAGUCCGGGAGAGGUGAGUGGAACUGCGAGUGUAGAGGUGAAAUUCGUAGAUAUUCGCAAGAACACCAGUGGCGAAGGCGGCUCACUGGCCCGGUACUGACGCUGAGGUGCGAAAGCGUGGGGAGCAAACAGG
rnacentral:rRNA from 1 species